CUACGGGAGGCAGCAGUGGGGAAUAUUGGACAAUGGGCGAAAGCCUGAUCCAGCCAUGCCGCGUGAGUGAUGAAGGCCCUAGGGUUGUAAAGCUCUUUCACCGGUGAAGAUAAUGACGGUAACCGGAGAAGAAGCCCCGGCCAACUUCGUGCCAGCAGCCGCGGUAAUACGAAGGGAGCUAGCGUUGUUCGGAAUCACUGGGCGUAAAGCGCACGUAGGCGGACUUUCAAGUCAGGGGUGAAAUCCCGGGGCUCAACCUCGGAACUGCCUUUGAUACUGUUGGUCUCGAGUCCGGAAGAGGUGAGUGGAAUUCCUAGUGUAGAGGUGAAAUUCGUAGAUAUUAGGAAGAACACCGGUGGCGAAGGCGGCUCACUGGUCCGGUACUGACGCUGAGGUGCGAAAGCGUGGGGAGCAAACAGGAUUAGAAACCCGGGUAGUCC
rnacentral:rRNA from 1 species